GGUUGGGGAAUUUUCGGAAUGGGCGAAAACCUGACGGAGCAAAGCCGCGUGAAGGAUGACGGCCUAUGGGUUGUAAACUUCUUUUUUCAGAGAAGAAUUUUUGACGGUAUUUGAGGAAUAAGCAUUGGCUAACUUUGUGCCAGCAACCGCGGUAAGACAGAGGAUGCAAGCGUUAUCCGGAAUGAUUGGGCGUAAAGCGUUUGUAGGUGGGUUAAAAAAUUUCCUGUCAAAGAUCAGGGCUUAACCCUGGGCCGGCAGGAGAAACUUUUAGGGCUAGAGUUUGGUAGGGGCAGAGGGGAAUUCCCCGUGGAAAAAAAGGAGGGGGUAGAGCGCUUAGGAGGAAACACCAAAGGGGAAAGGGAGCUGGAGGGCCAGGGGUUACAAUCAAACUUUUUAAGAGAGAUGGGGGAGG
rnacentral:rRNA from 1 species